AAAACGACUCUCGGCAACGGAUAUCUCGGCUCUCGCAUCGAUGAAGAACGUAGCGAAAUGCGAUACUUGGUGUGAAUUGCAGAAUCCCGUGAACCAUCGAGUCUUUGAACGCAAGUUGCGCCCGAAGCCUUUUGGCUGAGGGCACGUCUGCCUGGGCGUCACGC
rnacentral:rRNA from 1 species